rnacentral:rRNA from 1 species
UACAGAGGUCUCAAGCGUUGUUCGGAUUCACUGGGCGUAAAGGGCGCGUAGGCGGUGCGGUAAGUCACUUGUGAAAUCUCCGAGCUUAACUCGGAACGGCCAAGUGAUACUGCAGUACUAGAGUGCGGAAGGGGCAAUCGGAAUUCUUGGUGUAGCGGUGAAAUGCGUAGAUAUCAAGAGGAACACCUGAGGUGAAGACGGGUUGCUGGGCCGACACUGACGCUGAUGCGCGAAAGCCAGGGGAGCAAACGGG